UAUAUACUCCCUCCGUUCCGAAUUACUUGUCGCAGAUAUGGAUGUAUCUAGAUGUAUUUUAGUUCUAGAUACAUCCAUUUCUGUGACGAGUAAUUUAGAACGGAGGGAGUACCUG
rnacentral:pre_miRNA from 1 species